rnacentral:lncRNA from 1 species
ACAAUCUCUACCGACUCGUCCACCAUGAUCCCUAUCCUGUGUGACAUGCGUAAACUGAGACUCACCGGUGAAUCGAAUAUCACCCUGUGGUUGUGUUUCAUAAACGGUGGUCUCCUGUCCUCCAAUUUCUCCCUGAUCAUCAGAUCCAUGGCUACUACUACCAGUAGCAUCAUCACUCUUUCUGGUGUCCGUAUCUGAACCAGAUAGCUCCUGUACUCUCGAGAGUGGUGCACGUACAACUAUCUUUUUCUUUCCCCUCUUGUGCCCCUCUGUGACUGAGUUUUCUGUGAUUGGGAGGAUGGAUGCCUUCUUGCUGGCUGUCGGAAGGAUCGUCUAUAUAUCUCUCGCUCGAAUAUCUGGGAAGAUGUAUCGGAUAGCGAGUCAUGUGAUGAAUGAGUCUCUUGUGUCUCCUCAGACUGUGGCUAAUCAGCUAGAACCCUAUGUGAAAUAUUUUUUUCUGUCCAUUAUCCUGGAUCCACCCUGAUCUCCCUCGCCACCACACUGGCUGGUCGUGGAGGAGAUCCUGACUCAUCAAGCUCUGGCUUCUGCUGCUGACCUGCAAGUCAUCCGAUAAUCGGAUCGUUAUCCUCGUCGGCAUAAUCAUCCAGCGUCGGAUCAGUGUACUUCAACUGAACUUUCUCCUGAAUACAUUUUAGCCUCAACCUCAGAUUGUAGUGAACAUAUACAAGAUCGUCGAGGCAUUUUUAUGUCAGACGAUUUCUCUGUUUGCUGUAGAUAAGAGCGAAAGUGGACCAAUUACGCUCACAGUCACUAGCAGAGACCGUCUGAGAAAGAAUACGGACAGCCAUAUGUCUCAAAUUUUCUGCUGACAUUCCAAAAUGAAUCC